CCUACGGGUGGCAGCAGUGGGGAAUAUUGGACAAUGGGCGAAAGCCUGAUCCAGCCAUGCCGCGUGUGUGAAGAAGGCCUUCGGGUUGUAAAGCACUUUCAGUGGGGAAGAAAGCCUUGGGGCUAAUACCCUCGAGGAAGGACAUCACCCACAGAAGAAGCACCGGCUAACUCCGUGCCAGCAGCCGCGGUAAUACGGAGGGUGCGAGCGUUAAUCGGAAUUACUGGGCGUAAAGCGCGCGUAGGCGGUCUGAUAAGCCGGUUGUGAAAGCCCCGGGCUCAACCUGGGAACGGCAUCCGGAACUGUCAAGCUAGAGUGCAGGAGAGGAAGGUAGAAUUCCCGGUGUAGCGGUGAAAUGCGUAGAGAUCGGGAGGAAUACCAGUGGCGAAGGCGGCCUUCUGGACUGACACUGACGCUGAGGUGCGAAAGCGUGGGUAGCAAACAGGAUUAGAUACCCUAGUAGUC
rnacentral:rRNA from 1 species